rnacentral:rRNA from 1 species
GACGAACGCUGGCGGCGUGCUUAACACAUGCAAGUCGAACGGAAAGGCCCUGCUUUUGUGGGGUGCUCGAGUGGCGAACGGGUGAGUAACACGUGAGUAACCUGCCCUUGACUUUGGGAUAACUUCAGGAAACUGGGGCUAAUACCGGAUAGGAGCUCCUGCUGCAUGGUGGGGGUUGGAAAGUUUCGGCUGUUGGGGAUGGACUCGCGGCUUAUCAGCUUGUUGGUGGAGUAGUCGCUUUCCAAGGGUUAGACGGAUAGCCGGCCUGAGAGGGUGACCGGCCACAAUGGGACUGAGAGACGGCGCAGACUCCUACGGGAGGCAGCAGUGGGGAAUAUUGCACAAUGGGCGGAAGCCUGAUGCAGCAACGCCGCGUGCGGGAUGACGGCCUUCGGGUUGUAAACCGCUUUCGCCUGUGACGAAGCGUGAGUGACGGUAAUGGGUAAAGAAGCACCGGCUAACUACGUG